rnacentral:lncRNA from 1 species
AAAUCAUUAUAACAUGAUAGGUGCAGUAAUAGAAAUAUGCACAAAGUGCUGUGGAGAGCAGAGGGGACACAAGUGCAAUCGCAUUAUUCAAGGUUGGAGCAGACAUCGUCAUCAAGGAAAGAUUCUGGAAGCUUCUAUUCAAUUUCCAAAGGAAAUCCACAGGUUUUGCUGCAAGAGCCUAACUUUCUUAGAACAUCAAUUUUUUUUUUAAUUUUCUUUUUAAUGUUCCUUCAUUUUUGAGAGAGACAGAGUGCAAGCAGGGGAGGGCAGAGACAGGGGAGACACAGAAUCCGAAGCAGGCUCCAGGCUCUGGGCUGUUAGCACAGAGCCUGAUGCGGGGCUCAAACUCCCAGAUCAUGAGAUCAUGACCUGAGCUGAAGUCAGACACUUACCCGACUGAGCCACCCAGGCACCCCUUAGAACAUCAAUUUUUAUUAUGGAUGGAAUAUUGUGUUAUUGUUUUAUAAUGUUUUUUAAAGUUUCUUUAUUUUGAGAGAGAGAGAGUGUAUGUGCACAUGAGCAGGGGAGGGGCACAGAGAGAGGGAGAGGGAGAGGGAGAAUCCCAAGCAGGCUCUAUGCUGUCAGCGUGAGAUCGUGAAAAUCAAGAAUCAGACCCUUAACCGACUGAGCCACCCAGGUACCCUGGAUAGAACAUUGUUUUUUCUUUCUUUUUUUUUUUUUUAAGUUUUUUCUUUUUAUGUAUUUUGAGAGAGAGAUAGCAACAGGGGGAGUGGAAGAGACAGAGGGAGACGAUCUCAAGCUGAUAGCAAGGAGCCCAAUGUGAGGCUCGAACUCACAAUUGUGAGAUCAUGACCUGAGGCCAAGUCAAGAGUCUGACACCUAACCGACUGAGCCAUCUGGGAGCCCCAGAACAUUGUUUCAAAAGGGCUUUGUUGGGGGGCGCCUGGGUGGCGCAGUCGGUUGAGCGUCCGACUUCAGCCAGGUCACGAUCUCGCGGUCCGGGAGUUCAAGCCCCGCGUCGGUCUCUGGGCUGAUGAUGGCUCAGAGCCUGGAGCCUGCUUCCGAUUUUGUGUCUCCCUCUCUCACUGCGCCUCCCCCGUUCAUGCUCUGUCUCUCUCUGUCCCAAAAA